UUGGCCGGGCGACGGUUGUCCCGGUUUAAGCGUGUAGGCUGGUUUUCCAGGCAAAUCCGGAAAAUCAAGGCUGAGGCGUGAUGACGAGGCACUACGGUGCUGAAGCAACAAAUGCCCUGCUUCCAGGAAAAGCCUCUAAGCAUCAGGUAACAUCAAAUCGUACCCCAAACCGACACAGGUGGUCAGGUAGAGAAUACCAAGGCGCUUGAGAGAACUCGGGUGAAGGAACUAGGCAAAAUGGUGCCGUAACUUCGGGAGAA
rnacentral:rRNA from 1 species